rnacentral:tRNA from 1 species
UGGGAGAUCGGCUAAGCGGUAGGCCAGCGGGCUCUGGACCCGCUAGUGGAGGUUCGAGUCCUCCUCUCCCAGCCA